GGGGGGGGGGGGGGGGGGGCGGGGGGGGGGGGGGGCGGGCGGGGGGGGGGGGGCGGGGGUGCUCAAGCGGGGGGCGAACGGGUGAGUGACGCGGGAGGGCCCGGCCGCAAAGAGGGGGACAGCGGUUGGAAACGACUGCUAAUACCGCAUAAGCCCACGACCCGGCGUCGGGUCGAGGGAAAAGGAGCAAUCCGCUUUGAGAUGGCCGCGCGUCCGAUUAUCCAGUUGGUGCGGUAACGGCCCACCAAGGCGACGCUCGGUAGCCGGACUGAGAGGUUGAACGGCCACAUUGGGAGUGAGACACGGCCCAGACUCCUACGGGAGGCAGCAGUGGGGAAUAUUGCACAAUGGGGGAAACCCUGAUGCAGCGACGCCGCGUGGAGGAAGAAGGUCUUCGGAUUGUAAACUCCUGUUGUUGAGGAAGAUAAUGACGGUACUCAACAAGGAAGUGACGGCUAACUACGU
rnacentral:rRNA from 1 species